rnacentral:rRNA from 1 species
CCCGAGGUUGAGCCUCGGGUCUGCAGUGGGUACGGGCAGACUAGAGUGCGGUAGGGGAGAUUGGAAUUCCUGGUGUAGCGGUGGAAUGCGCAGAUAUCAGGAGGAACACCGAUGGCGAAGGCAGAUCUCUGGGCCGUAACUGACGCUGAGGAGCGAAAGCAUGGGGAGCGAACAGGAUUAGAUACCCUGGUAGUCCAUGCCGUAAACGUUGGGAACUAGAUGUGGGGACCAUUCCACGGUCUCCGUGUCGCAGCUAACGCAUUAAGUUCCCCGCCUGGGGAGUACGGCCGCAAGGCUAAAACUCAAAGGAAUUGACGGGGGCCCGCACAAGCGGCGGAGCAUGCGGAUUAAUUCGAUGCAACGCGAAGAACCUUACCAAGGCUUGACAUAUACCGGAAACAUGCAGAGAUGUGUGCCCCGCAAGGUCGGUAUACAGGUGGUGCAUGGUUGUCGUCAGCUCGUGUCGUGAGAUGUUGGGUUAAGUCCCGCAACGAGCGCAACCCUCGUUCUAUGUUGCCAGCACGUAAUGGUGGGAACUCAUAGGAGACUGCCGGGGUCAACUCGGAGGAAGGUGGGGAUGACGUCAAAUCAUCAUGCCCCUUAUGUCUUGGGCUUCACGCAUGCUACAAUGGCCGGUACAAAGGGCUGCGAUACCGUAAGGUGGAGCGAAUCCCAAAAAGCCGGUCUCAGUUCGGAUUGAGGUCUGCAACUCGACCUCAUGAAGUCGGAGUCGCUAGUAAUCGCAGAUCAGCAACGCUGCGGUGAAUACGUUCCCGGGCCUUGUACACACCGCCCGUCAAGUCAUGAAAGUCGGUAACACCCGAAGCCAGUGGCCUAACCGCAAGGGAGGAGCUGUCGAAGGUGGGAUCGGUGAUUAGGACUAAGUCGUAACAAGGUAGCCGUACCGGAAGGUGCGGCUGGAUCACCUCCUUUCUAAGGA